rnacentral:lncRNA from 1 species
CAAGGCCAACUGUACAUAAAAUCUGCUGACUACUACUGUACAGAUUAUUGUUUCUCUCAAUCUACAUGGUUUUAUACUUGUGCUUUGGCAGUACUGAAUGGGACGACAAGUCCAACAACUGAAGCCCCCGUCGUCACUACUACAGAAACCACUGAACAAACAACCGCCAGUGCUACACCUGCUUCAACAGCAGAGACGACAGCAGCUAAUUUCAACACUUCAGGGACCACAACAGUUUUCCUUCUCUCAGCUGUCCUGAAUACAAGCAUAUGAAUCACAACUCAAUGACAACAACAGCGUUCAGUUCCAGACUCUCCAAAGAGAAGUUGUACGAAUUGUGAGUACAAUGUCAAAAAGGACAAAUGGCUUUAUAUUUGCCAAGUGGAUGACUUCAACAUGAAAAUCUUGACUAUUGAAUGUAAAUAGUGAAACAUUUUAAUAUGUUUCUAAUUUCCUGUCUGCUUUCCUCCCUCAGGUGGACUCUGUCUACAGCCACAUCUAUAUUACUUUCAUCUAUGCCUAUGUCAUAGAAUUCAGGUAAGACUUUGAGUUCUUGCCCUUGAAUGACUUUGGUUUUCUCUCUUUGUGCUAUUCACCACUAUCAUAAGUGAUUUAUUGCAAAGGAACCCAGUUCAUGGAUCAGUUGCACAUAUGAUUCACGACUAUCAAUAUGAUGUCAUUGAAAUGUUCUUCUGUUCUGUGCAGCCCAUUUGUCACAUCAAACACAACUCUUACUAAAGUAGACCUGGCAAUUGAGUUCAAUGACCUUGCUGCACCUGGAGAAACCCCACAGGCUAGCGAUGUCGCAACAGCUUUAGCAAGUGCUGUGUCCAAUCCCAACAACACCUUCAAUCUCACUGUUGUGUCCACUUCCAUUCAAGUAGUUGUACUGAAUGGGACGACAAGUCCAACAACUGAAGCCCCCGUCGUCACUACUACAGAAACCACUGAACAAACAACCACCAGUGCUACACCUGCUUCAACAGCAGAGACGACAGCAGCUAAUUUCAACACUUCAGGGACCACAACAGUUUUCCUUCUCUCAGCUGUCCUGAAUACAACAUAUGAAUCACAACUCAAUGACAACAACAGCGUUCAGUUCCAGACUCUCCAAAGAGAAGUUGUACGAAUUGUGAGUACAAUGUCAAAACGGACAAAUGGCUUUAUAUUUGCCAAGUGGAUGACUUCAACAUGAAAAUCUUGACUAUUGAAUGUAAAUAGUGAAACAUUUUAAUAUGUUUCUAAUUUCCUGUCUGCUUUCCUCCCUCAGGUGGACUCUGUCUACAGCCACAUCUAUAUUACUUUCAUCUAUGCCUAUGUCAUAGAAUUCAGGUAAGACUUUGAGUUCUUGCCCUUGAAUGACUUUGGUUUUCUCUCUUUGUGCUAUUCACCACUAUCAUAAGUGAUUUAUUGCAAAGGAACCCAGUUCAUGGAUCAGUUGCACAUAUGAUUCACGACUAUCAAUAUGAUGUCAUUGAAAUGUUCUUCUGUUUUGUGCAGCCCAUUUGUCACAUCAAACACAACACUUACUAAAGUAGCCCUGGCAAUUGAGUUCAAUGACCUUGCUGCACCUGGAGAAACCCCACAGGCUAGCGAUGUCGCAACAGCUUUAGCAAGUGCUGUGUCCAAUCCCAACAACACCUUCAAUCUCACUGUUGUGUCCACUUCCAUUCAAGUAGUUGGUAAGUGAACUGUUGCCUGAAAUCUCACCCUAAGACCCUUAACAAACAUGAAAACACUCACAGACACUCUGUGGUGAGAAUGUUUCUUUGUGCGUUUCCAUUGUUGUUGAGUCUCCAGUUCGUAUCAUUAUAAAGGUUUACUGUACAUAGUAGGUUAAUA